rnacentral:lncRNA from 1 species
CUGGACGCACGGACCAAACCCGACUCAUUCCCCAAAUAAUGUUUAAUUAAAAGGAAAGAGAAGCCUAAAUCCCGAAGUCUCAAACCCAACAACGCGGACUGUUCAUCUCUCCAAAAAGCACCCGAAUCCACUCCCAAAAUUGCAAAAAAUGUGGCGAGUGAGCUCCAGUAUCACCUCACGCGUUCCCCCUCUCUCCUCAUCACCAUUUUUAACGGUUUCUGACGACAAAAGAGUCCCCUCUCCUCUCACUCGCUCGAUUUUGGAUAUAUCUCACGAUUGGAAGGUUCUGAGAAUGAUUUGCUGGAUGAGCGUGAGGCGUUGGAUUGAUUUCACUCAAUCCGAGCCCCACAUUCAUCAGGGGUUCGUUUUCAAUAGGACCGGAUUCGAUUUCGAAGGAGGAGCAGAAAAAAUAAUUUUCGGAGUCUGAGAGAUUUGGAAAGAAGGUUUGAGAAAGCAUUUAGUUUUGAUUGAGUUCUCUUGGGGUUUUCAGUUUCAAUUCUGGAAAAGGGUUUAGAAAUUUCAGUUUCUUUCGUUUUGGUUCUUGGUUCUGUUUCAAAAAUCUGAAAAAAAGGUUUUCAUUAUCUUUCUUUGAUUCCUUUAAAAAAUGGAGAUGGACUGAGUUGAGAUCGAGUUGAAUGUUCGUGUUCAAGUUCGUGGUUCUUGCAUCCUAACGCAUUAUAGAUGCUAUUAUUUUGAAUUUUCAUUAUCAAGUUCACUUGUAUUGGGUUCGAGGCAGAAUUAAUCUAAGUUUUCCUUUGCAACUCAGGUUCAUUUCUUAUCCUCUUCUCUAUCGCUCUUGGUUCUAUGUUUGUACGUGUGCGUAUUCCAUCAUAGUAUAGUUUGAACCUCGAAACUCAAUGUCUGUUUCUUUUACUCUAGUUUUAACUCGUUUGGCCUUGGUUCAGGUCCAUUUAUGCUUUUUUUUGGGGUUGAAAACACUCCCAAGUCAUAAUAGAGCUGGAAUUUCUGAGUUUGUAUCUCGUUGUUGCUGUCAUGUAGGCUUUGUUGGAUUGAAUCUGCCAGAUAGCAGAUUCGUGUUAGUGUAGUUCUAUUCUCUACUUUUGGAAUCCGAGUCGUGAAUUUACGGGGCAAUUGUUGGCUGUUUGUCUUGUGUUAAAAAACUGAGAAUGAACGUAAACAUUAGCUAUCCAGCGUCAAGCCCAUGUGUUUGCUAUUUUCUGCUGGUUUGAAGUUGCUGAGGUUACCCUUGUUAAUAUUUGUUCUUUGUGGCUCACUAUGUUUGAGAGGGUUAAGCGAGUGUUCAUGUUUCCGGCAUGUCAAUUGUAUCACUGAUCUUCUUAGGCUGAUUUUAAUUUAAAACUUGGGUAGUCAUGGUUUGUUUACUUCAAAGUCAGUUUGCAGUUGCUAAUCGAGCUGAUACCUGCAGUAGUUUGGAAAUUGUUUGAACUACUAAGCAUGCUGAAAACCUGCCCUGUUUCUGCACUAUUUAGGAAGCAAAUCUGCACAGCUUUGAGUGCAAAAUUCUGCACUGGUUGCCUGCAGCAGUCAUGAUUUACUAGUAGUUCAUGUGUAUAUGAGUUCUGCUUGGUUUUGCGAUUGCUAAUCCGUCAAAGGAGAUUGGUAGGGGUGAGUUAGUUUUUGAUAGGUUCAUCGUUGGGUAGGAGUUUUUUCGUGAGUUUUAUCUCGUCAAUUUGGGGUAUAACGGAUGCAUCUAAAUCAUAGUGUCGUCUAAUUGCCCUUGUGUAUUAAUUAGUUCACUGGAUAGUCCGAUUUUGUCUCCUUGGAAUGUUUUGGAUCAUGUUUGUAACAUCUGGAGGGGAAUUCGAGCUAUAUGCUUAUUUGAUUCUGAUGUGCUGCUGCAUACUCGUGUAGUACUAGUACUAUCAUAGGUUUGAAACUUGAGUAAUCUUGCAAAAACAUGAAUUUCAAUAGUUUUUUGUAUCCUUUUUUUAACAUAGAAAUACUUACAGUUAUCAUCAUGAUUCUAGGGAUGUAAAAAGGCACUAGCUAUGUUGCAGUUUGUGAUUAGAUUUGGUAAUUGCAUGAUUAGUUAUUGAUUGUCCGUCUUCGUAUAAUUAACAUUUUUUCCUUCUCCUUAAGUUUCUGCAUAUAAUCUGCUCUAAAUCCUCAUGUUGCUCACAUUAGUAUAAGAUAAUAAUGUAGAUGAAUUCAUUUUUUUUGAUAUUAAGUGAUUGAAAUCCAUAGCUGGUUGUGUAGUUAAACUAUGUUCCUUAUAAUCAAAGCAACACCUCUCCUUUUAUUCUUGGCCAGCGCUCUAAUGGUUAUUCACUAUCUGCAUAUUUCCCACACUAUGCGCUUCUUCUUUCUCAGCUCACAUCUUUUCCUUUUCAUAAAUUCACAUUAUUUCUCCUACAACAAUCUUCCCUAAACUCAUGGCCCUCGCAAAGUUGCAAACGCGUAGUAUGUUUUUAAGCUCGCUCUUAGUCUAUCAUUGUGAUUGUGGAUACGUUUGCGCGACAUGAUUAUAAUUUCUAAAAAAAACAAAAUCAGAGUAUGCGUUCGCGCAACUUCGGCUAAUUUUUUUUAAUAAUCAUAAAAGCGUUAUAAAUUGUGGAAAUAUUCAUGUGACAUGAUUUUGACGCAUCAAACAAAUGGGUACACGUACGCGCGACCCCUUUCAAGAUAAUUUCCUUAAUUAAAAAGCGGUGAAAGGCAAAUGUACGUAGGUUCUAAAAUAAGUAAUUAAACCAAUUUAAUAGGUCAAGUAUGAUCGAAGCGACCGUCUUAGAACCACGGAACUCGGGAAUGCCUAACACUUUCUCCCAGAUUAACAAAAUUCCUUAUUCGGAUUUUUGUAUUCGCAUACAUGAUCAGAGUCAAAUCUUUUUCUCGAUUCGGAAUUUUAAACCGGUGACUUGGGACACCAUAAAUUAUCCCAAGUGGCGACUUUGAUUUUUUAAUAAAUAAUCCCAUUUCGACUGUCAUGUAAAUUGGAUAAACUCCCUUUAUACGCUCCCUACCGGGGGUAUAGUUUAAAAAGAAGGUGUAACGGGUCCCACACAAGACAGUUUCCUAUCAAACAGGAAGAUUGCAGAUAAUGCCAUAAUUAUUCAAGAAUAUAUCACCCACUCCCAAAUGAUGAAAGGUAAAAAUGCUAACAUGGUCCUAAGAUUGACUUAGAAAAAGUCUUCGAAAAAAAAAAAGUUUCGAAAAACUUGAGUAUUCCUUCAUUAAGGAAUCCCUAAUGUUCUUUAAGUUUCCAACUAAAAUGACAAAUCUGAUCCUCUCAUGUAUCUCUUCUAGUUCCAUAUACAUACUAGUCAAUGGAAGCCAAGCUGAGCCUUUCAACCCUACUAGAAGAAUGAAGCAGGGUGACCCCAUCUCCCCUAAUUUUUCAUUAUUUUCAUGGAAAAGCUUUCUAGGAAUAUUGACCAAGCACUCAUGAGAACUAACUGGCUAUUUAUUACCAUCAACAGGAAUGACCCGAAAAUAUCCCACAUUUUCCUUGCUGAUGAUCACAUCCCUCUUUGGUAGAGCCAAUAGGAAAAACUGUGAUUCUAUCUUGGAAACCUUAGAAGAUUUCAAUAAUGCCUCAGGCCAAAAGGUUAUCUUCCAAAUAUCCAAGGUUAUCUUCUCAGCCAAUUGCAAGGAGAAUUGGGCUAAUAACUAAGCUUAGUGUUGGGAAUUACGAAAAGCUGUAAAUUUGGUAAAUAUCUAGGUUUUCUCAUUUUUCACAAAAGACCUACCAACAAGAGACUUCUAAUUCAUAAUUGAUAGCAUAGACACUGAGCUGGUUGGCUGAAAAACUAAGAUGUCAAAAUAUGGCUGGCUGUACAACCUUGGCAAAAGCAAGCGUGGGAAGCAUCCCCAAUUAUUUGAUGAAUUAUAUAAAGCUACUCUCCCACAUCACCAACUAGAUAGAAAAAUUCAAAAGAAAUUUAUAUGAGGCACCACAUCUGAGAAUAAGAAACUACACAUGAUCAAAUGUGAUACAAUUAUUAAGCCAAAGAACAUGAGGGUCUUGGCCUUCUGCAAGCCCAAAUGAAAACACAUCCACCAUGACUAGCCUAGCUUGGAGAUUAUACAAGAAUACAGACACAAUAUGGGCUAGGGUCCUAAUUGGUAAGUACUGUAGUGGUAUCCAGGUUAGAGAUAAACCAACGACUAGGACAUGGCAACGCAUUCAAGAAAGAUGGAAUGUAUGUGUUAAGGCUUCUAGAUUGGUAGUCCAUAGAGGGGAUAUGAUCAACUUUUUUGGUUGAUAACUGGAUCCUCAUUAUGCUACACAUUAACUCAAUCCUCCAUGGAUUCGGCACAACUCUGACCUGACCCUAAAGAUAAGCUUCAUCAUCCACAAUAAGGAAUGGAACCUUGAUGUUGUUUACUACCCCAUUUCCAUGGAUAUUAAAAGUGUUAUCCAUUCCGUGUUGAUUCCUGCUUCUAGCAGCUCUGAGGAUAAACUUAUCUGGAACCUUAAUGGAUAUGGGCUUUUUAGCAUUAAAUCAACCUACAACCUCAUUAGUUCUAAGCUAAACCCAAGUAAUAGCUAGGAUGACUCUUUUGGAUGGAUUUGAAAAUGAAAAGUCCCCAAUAGAUAAAAAUAUUCGCUUGGAUAAUACAACACAGCAGCUGCCUACUGCUAAGCACCUAAACAUUAUAGGCUUAAAUGUAAGCCCAAUAUGCUAUUUUUGCUCCUCUGAGUAGAAGACAUAAUCCACAUCUUCUUUGAAUGCAUCAAUGCAAAAAUAUUCUGGCUAUCCUUGUCACAUGAGUGUACAAACAAUGAUUGCACCCAUACCUUGUGUUUUCAAUGGUUCAUCGGGAACAAACAUGGCACAAGGUCAAGAACACGUGCUUCAAUACUUCUAUUUAUCGGAGAUCUCUCAUGACAUUCUGCCUUUGGAGUAUAUGACUCACUUGGAACAAUAAUGUCUUUGACAAAAAAGAAAAUUUUCACUCACGUUGCCUAAAUCAUUGCUAGAGCUACUGAGUAUUAUCGUGUUGUUGUCCACCACAAAGACAAGGGGGAAAGCAUUGCAAUACACAUUAAGUGGGAGCCUCCACCUAUUGGCUCCUAUAAGCUAAACAUAAAUGUGGCUGCUUGCCAUAAAACAAAGUAGGAAGGAGGGAGUCUUCAGGAACAACAUCUGUGGCUGAAUGCUGGGAUACAUAAGGGGUUUACCAUAUACCAUCAGUAUAGAGCCUAGACUUCAUGCAAUCUAGCAAGGUCUUAAAUUGCCCUUGACCACAACUUCACACGUCUACAAAUUUGCAUUGAUUCUGAACAAGUUUUAAGGAUAUUAAACGAGGGAAACCUCCACUAUAACUCUAUUAUUUUUUUAAUACAGAUGAUUGAUGGAGCAAUUGGGAGAUCUAGUACCAGGACAUAAUUUUAGAGAUUUGAACCAGGUGGCGGGCCUCCUUGCAAAGGAAUGAGCAACAAAGAAAUGCUUGGAAGGACAGAAGUUUUGGCUAUUCCUCUGGUAUUUUUAAAUAAUGCCCUGUGUACAGAUAUUCUAGGAACUAUUUUUGUACGUAAUACCAGGGGUAAUCCCAGUG